UCCUCGGGGAAUUCUGGCUCCGGCACGGGAUUUCUAAUCCCAGGGUCGCAGGUUCGAGUCCUGCUCGGGGUA
rnacentral:tRNA from 1 species